rnacentral:lncRNA from 1 species
CUUUACAGGACUGCCUAGUAUAGUGCCCACUUGUCUCAAAAUAUUUCCAAGAUAUUAUAAAUGUUAUGACAGUUUUAGAAUUACAGAAAGAAAGAAAAAUUCGUUCUUAGGGUCCCUAUGUACCCUAUACACUUUCACCUGUGGUACAUAUACUACAAUUAAUGCAUCAUAUUGAUACUUCAUUAAUAACCAAAGUACAUAUUUUAUUUGUAUGUUUUUAAUUUUUCCCUAAUGUCCUUUUCUACCCUCACAGGAUUCCAUUAAGUAUCCUACAUUACAUUUAUCAUGUCUCCUUAGGUUUCUCCUGCUGUGAUACUUUGUCAGACUUUGUUUUCCAUGUCCUUGACAGUUUUGAGGAGUAACAAUAAGGUGAUCUGCAGAGUGUCCCUGAAUUGAUGUUUUUUACCAUGAUUAGACUAAGGAUAGACCACAUUAUACAGGAUCUGGACUACCAAAAUGACAUCACUAUUAUAAUUUUGAUCAUCUUGUUGAGAUAAUAUUAGUCAGGUUUUUUUUCCAGUAUAAAGUUCUUCUCUUAUUUGCCUCUCUGUAUUGCCCACCCUUUCUCUGGUAGUGAAUCCCUG